rnacentral:lncRNA from 1 species
GUAAUAUAUGUAUUAAAACACCUAGGCUCGAGUGUAAAAGACAAACAUCAUUACAAAACAUAAAACAUCAGUAUUGUCCUUAAUAAAGCACCUAGGCUCGAGUGUAAAGGACAACCACCAUUAAAUGGCAUAGAACAUCUGUGAUGUCCUUAAUAAAACACCUAGGCUCGAGUGUAAAGGACAGGCACCCUUAGAACUUAGUUAGUCAUAGAUACUACUUCCCUAGACGAGAAGUAAAGAGUAAUCUUAAAGAUUGGAGACACGUCCUCUGUCACACUUCCUUGGCACGAGAGAGUGGAGGACUAACCCUGUAACCAGAAUCUCCAGGAGGGAGAACGUGACUUGAGUGUAUAGAUCUAUACGGGACUGACAAUCCCGCACCUGGCUGCUAGCUACAGCCGAACCGAAUGGUUCAAGGGUGACGAAAGUCAUAAAAGGAUACUGCCCCUGGCCCGAGUCAAAUCUAGUUUGAGUAUGGUUAAGGACUCGCAAUCAAGAUUAUUAACAUUUUACACUUAUUAGUUUUAUGUACGUAAUAAAACUAAUGUAUAUUUAAGGAUAAUCAGACCUUCAGGAGACUUCACACACACAUUCAGGAAAACAUGGGGUUUUCCUGGGGAUAACAUUGAACAUAAUCGGAACCGGUAACAGUUCGCACACACAGAACCGGUAACAGUUCACACACACUCAUGUAGGAAAAUAUAGGAUUUUCCUGACUAACAGUAGUACGUAACCAGAAAAGUGUAACAAGUUAGAUAACUAAACUUAACGAUUCACAAGAACAAUCAUGGUAUUCAAUCUAUAUUUUCACGUAUAUCAAACUAUCUUGUAUCUAGUACGGGAUGUUAGUCCCAUGGUUUUCAAACUACUUUCCAUCUACAAUUCACGUAUAUCAAAGUAUUUUAUAUCUAAUUCAGGAUAGUAAUCCCAUGAUUCUCAAUAUAUAGUUUUGUGUAUUAAACUAUACUCUAUGAUAUUCAAUCGGUCUUGUAUUUAAGAAAAUAUGGGAUUUUCUUGGACAACAACUUUUUCAGGAAACCAAAGGAACUCGUACAUUUUUCACAAAACAAAACCGCUUAUGAACUCACCAGCUUUAUGCUGAUUUUCAAACCGCUUGUAUUCCCAGGUUCGCAUUAGACAGGUACCCGACGAUCUCUUUUAGCGAAGACAAAGUGCGUAGAAGACUCGUCACAUUUUGUUCAUAUAUACUAUGUAUCACACUUGUACAAUUUACUUUUGAAACAAAUGUAAACUAUUAUAUAUGUAAUGUAAUGGUUGUCUACUUUGCUUACUAUGUGCAUUGGAUUUGAUACUCAACAUGGAGUCAACCCCGAAAAUGUUUCCGCCUUUGGUUUUCGGGGUGUGACAGAUUGGUAUCAGAGCCCUUGUUUAUAGUGAAUAAAGUAUACCAAACCUUACAUGGUAUAAAACUAUAAACAUUAAGGGGCCUAAGUGCUCUGAACUAAAAGUAUCCUUCAAAAUAUAAGUAUUUUCAAAAGUAUAUAAGUAUACCGAACCGUCGAGAUCCGUAACUACAAGUAGAACAAAACAUAAGUAAAUGGGUGUCGUACGCUGCGGUUAAACCUGGGCAAUUAUGUAGUCGUGUCUAGGAUCAAUAUAGCCUGGCCAACUAUAUUCAUUCGAGACACGGCCAACAUGUGCUUAGGAGUGACUGUGGUAUGCGGCAUGCCUAAAACUUACCCUAAUACCACAAACAUCGAGUCAGCGUCGUAACGAAUCAUGAGAUACUAUGGGAGUAUUUCUCAAGACAAUCCUUGGUAAAAAUCCUCGUUCAUGCAUUGUUCUUUGAUCAUUCCCUUAGCGAUAACUUGUCCCACUUAGAUAACUCUUUCCUGCUUUAUCGCUUAUUCAGCAUAUAUCCGUCAUAUCUCUUGAUUCAAUUCAGAGGACUUAUCAUCCUCUCUUUCUUGAUCUUGUUAGAUCAAGAUGCCUCCAAUAAAGAGACCCAGCUCUAAGACCAACAACCCUCCGCCACCACCUCCUCCCCAAAUUGACCCUGUAGUAUUCCAGGCAGCUGUUACAGCCGCAGUGGUAGCUGCCAUGUCUCACCGGAACUCUGGCGGUUCCGGUGGUUCGGGAGGUGGUACUCAAAACCAAAACCAAGAAAGUAGUCGGGAACACCGAAAAGAGGGUUCCUAUAAGGAUUUCAUGAAUGCAAAAACGACUUCCUUUGAUGGCACUGGAGGUGUUAUUUCCCUCACCCGAUGGUUCAAGAAGAUCGAAUCCAUCUUUGAAAUUUGCGCCUGCUCAGAAUCUGACAAGGUGAAGUUUGCCGCCUGCACCUUUAUUGACAAAGCCCUAACUUGGUGGAACGGCCGAGUCAAAUCCCUAACCUUACCUGUAGCCAACGUCAUGGGUUGGGAAGCCAUGAAGGAACUUCUGCUGGCUGAGUACUGCCCUCGGGGCGAAAUGCAGAAGUUAUAACACGAACUCUGGAACCUGAAGAUGAAAGGUUCCGAUAUCACCGCUUACACUUCCAGGUUCGACGACUUGGCAUUACUCUACACGGGAAUGGUUACCCCGGAGAGUAAGAAGAUAGAGAAAUUCAUCUGGGGGCUGACCCAGCCAACGAAAGGAAACAGCAUAGUUGCGAGGCUAGAUAUAUACGACAACGCCAAACGCUUAACAUAAAUCUUAAUAGAUCAUAGUGAUGACCCUGAGGAGACAACUACCACUCCUGAGCCGACGUAGAGGAUUGGUGAGAAAAGAAAGAUUGGGAAGAAGGAGAAAAGUCAGAUAUCGCAAGAGUCUUCGAAGAGAUAGCAAACGAUGGCAGUUCAUGUUGCCACUUCUCCUGCAACUGUUUCUGUUGUUGGAUCCUCAACUCGGAAACCUGCUGGUAGGUAUGCUGAAACCCUUCCAAGUUGUGACAAGUGCAACUAUCAUCACCUUCCUUCCGGUCCAUGUAUAGAGGUAUUUUGCAAUAAUUGUGGCAUAAAGGGUCACAUGGUGAAAAACUGUAAGACACCAACCCAAUCAACCAUUCAAGCUUCCGGAGCGGGCAUUGGUCGGGCCUGCUAUGGUUGGGGAGAAGUCGGACAUUUCAAGCGAAAAUGCCCCAAGGCAGUAACAUAUGGAAACACCGGAAGAGUUCUAGCGAUAGGACAAGAGGAGACAGCCACCGAUCCCACCGUUGUCGCAGGUAUAUUUCCCCUCGUUGAAUCUUAUGCCUGUGAUUCUUUUCGAUUUUAUUGCCGAAAGAAAUUCGCUAACCAUCCAUUUGAACAUCUUUUAAACCCUGUCGUUCGUGAGUAAUCGAAAAUGUAUAUCGUCGAGAUGGUUAUCAAGUGAGAAUGAGAACGCUAACGUCAUAUCCGUAGAUUGUAUCCUUAAUCCGAACAAUUAUUCUUUUCCGUUCGAUCUAAUGGCAAACUAUUCAUGAAAUGCUUUGAUGUUGUCUUUACCAUGUAAUGACCGAGCCUCAUUCAUGUUGUUAUUCCUGGUUUCAAGAAAGCCAUACGUCUUAACCUUCCUCCGACCCGACUUUCAUGAUCUUCAUGCAUCAAAGCUUAAAAAGUUUUUCCCAUGUAUUCCUUAUCCAUGUGAUCAUCGUGAAACGAGAACUCUGCAACUCCUUCCCCGAUGCCUUUUUCCGAAGAUUUCCUGAGAAUUUCCCUUCGAAUGUGUAGUUAAGUUUCGCAUCGACCUAAUCCCUGGAAUUACCUCGUAGCCAAAACCUCNGAGGACGAUGAAGGCAGCAACCAGGACUUGAUACGAUCACUACGAGGUAGUGGUGGUGCCCUUCGGCCAAGCCAUUUUCCUGGUUAUGUAGAUAAGCAAAGCAGUCAUACUCAUGGACCUUUCCAAAAGCUAAGUCAAUAAAGAAUUAGUCGGCACCGGAGGUACCCAUAGAAACCCGUCAACUCUUGGGUCCCACCGACUAUUAUUGCAAACCCGUCUAGAAAUUUCCUUUAGAACCAUCAGACCCUUAGCUACUCUGCCACAUGAAGAUGUGCCCACUUGUUGCAAGUCUUACUCUGGAAAGACAUAGUACGCCUUGGGAAGUGCGGAAAACUUAACUCGUAGAACAUUAGACCCUUCGAGAUCCUCGUUAGGAAUCGAUUCUGUAGCCCUCUUCGAGUUAUCUUCAGAAUUCAGCAGCAACCAUCUGGUAUUCGACAUCUUUGUUCGUAAGGAGUGUUGACUUGACGAAACCCUAGAAAUCCCUUGAUGAGAUCGAAAUCAAUGGAAGUCCGAACCUUCAUGGAUGAAUCAAUUAAGUUCAUGGAUUGAUAGGUUGACCGUUCGAAACAAAGCCUCAUCCUGACAGUGAGGGUUCACUGGAAUGUAAAGCAGGGACCCGAUUCCACUUAGGAGCAUGAAGACCCGAAGCAGUAGAUUCACCCUCAUAUCUCUUUUCACUUCGCGAUCUGCGUUCAAAUCUUUGAAUUUCAGGAUGAAAUUCCCUCUAACGGGNCCCUCUAACGGGGGGAUAAUGUAACAACUCGAAAUUUCGUAUCAUUGCUUGUAACCCUUUUCGUAACCCAAUUCUAUCAACCAAUCGUCGUUUCCAAAUUUACUUCCGAUUUCGUCAUUUAAUUAAGUCAUUAAUGUGUAUUUUAUAUAACUCAUUCAAACACCCCAUAUUAAUGAUCGGAUCAUUUCUAGAAUCAACCAUACCGAGUUACGACAACUUGAUCGGGUGCGACCAAAAGCCCCGUCUAAAGCCGAUAUCGAGUAGAAUUUCACCGUGUCCAAAUCUUGAACACUAUUUAAAGUGUUCUAAGCCUUCAUUUGAAGCUUUUGCUUCAUCCCACUACUCUCUCUCUAACCUCUCUCCUCAACCAAAGAUUCAAGGUCCAAAACAUUAAAUUAAGGCUCCAAAUCUUUGAGGUAACAUCCCCAACUUGUUGUUUAACCUCUUAGGCCUUCAAAUUCGUGUUUAAUNAAAUCUUUGAGUAACAUCCCCAACUUGUUGUUUAACCUCUUAGGCCUUCAAAUUCGUGUUUAAUUUAUCAUUUUGGACUUGGAACAUGUGUUUAUGGCCAAGGAGCAUGCUUGGGCUGUAAACACAUAAAAACAUGCAUUUUUGAGCAAUUUAACCCUUCCAAACCAUCAUUAGGACUUAGAUAUGACCUUAAGGCUUGCAAAACCAGACUUAGAUCACCCUAGACAUGGAUUUUGAGGGACAAAUAAGAGUUUACGGCCAAGGAGCAUGCUUUGGCCAUAAACUCAUCAUUCAUGGAGAGUAAACUUAUUUAAACUUGUUAGAAAGCCAUACAACUACACCAAAAGCCUUGGAAUAAAUCCUAGAAUCAUCUAAAAAUAUUUUGGGGACCUUAAACAAGUCAAACACCCUCCAAUUAAGUGUUUACGUCCAAGGAACCCCAAGAACAUGUUCAUGGGCCGUAAACUCCUUUAUACAUGUCAAAUGAUACCCUAAAUUCAUACCAAGGCUUGGAAAAUUAGUUAGAAUCGCAUAUCAUUGUCCCAAGCCUCACAAAAUAAAUAUGGUUUGAACUUGGGGGAGUUUACGGCCGUAAACUCCAUGUUUAUAGCUAUGAACUCCCAUAAAUGGUGUAUAUGUUCAUACAAUCUAUUCCUAGGCUUUAGAAAAAUCCAUUCUAAUAUUCCCCAUGUGUAUUGAAGCUAUUUAGCAUCCUAAAUCACCCAACCAUGAGUUCACGGCUGUGAACUCAUGUAUGUAUGGGAUAUAUGGCCGCAAAAUCCAUUAGGAGUAUACUCUUAAAGAGUAAACUCAAUUCCCAAGUCCCUCGUAUCAUUACUCGUCCGUAGAUGUCACCCGGGUCACUCCAAACACUCGUUAUGAAGUGUUUUCGCUCAUUGGAGUGUAAUAUCAUAUCUAAUUAGAGUUUAUAAAUCUAAUUAGAUAUAUUUGUAUACCAUUUCAUAUUACGUAGGAACCUCGCAUGUUAUCAAGCCUCGAUUCGACACUAGCAUCCGGAACGUCGCAUUUUAUGGUUUGGUGAGUUCAUACCCCUACUCUUUUUCAAUGGUUUUUCGAUGUUUUCAGGGGGGGGGGGGGAAUACAAGCAAAAGUACAAGAAUAUCUUGUACUUAAACUCAUGAUUUCAGUUAAAUGGUUUCAUAAUUUGUACAUUUUUAAGAAUUGAAAACCUUAUAACAAACUGUUUUAACUUGCUGAGUUGUUCAAAUCGAUUUUCAAUUCUUAUUAUAUAUUGUUAUGUUCUAUACUUCACAUUUGAUUGUUCACACUUAUAUUGAUAUAAAACAUCAAACAUUUGUAAUAUAUGUAUUAAAACACCUAGGCUCGAGUGUAAAAGAGAAACAUCAUUACAAAACAUAAAACAUCAGUAUUGUCCUUAAUAAAACACCUAGGCUCGAGUGUAAAGGACAACCACCAUUAGAUGGCAUAGAACAUUUGUGAUGUCCUUAAUAAAACACCUAGGCUCGAGUGUAAAGGACAGGCACCCUUAGAACUUAGUUAGUCAUAGAUACUACUUCCCUAGACGAGAAGUAAAGAGUAAUCUUAAAG